AGUCGAGGGGUAACAGAGGAGCUUGCUCCUGCUGACGACCGGCGCACGGGUGCGUAACGCGUAUACAAUCUGCCUUGCACUAAGGGAUAGCCCAGAGAAAUUUGGAUUAAUAUCUUAUGGUUUAUAAUUAUGGCAUCAUAUUUAUAAUAAAGGUUACGGUGUAAGAUGAGUAUGCGUCCCAUUAGUUUGUUGGUAAGGUAACGGCUUACCAAGACUACGAUGGGUAGGGGCCCUGAGAGGGGGAUCCCCCACACUGGUACUGAGACACGGACCAGACUCCUACGGGAGGCAGCAGUGAGGAAUAUUGGACAAUGGAGGAGACUCUGAUCCAGCCAUGCCGCGUGCAGGAAGACGGUCCUAUGGAUUGUAAACUGCUUUUAUACAGGAAGAAUAAGGACUACGUGUAGUCUGGUGACGGUACUGUAAGAAUAAGGACCGGCUAACUCCGUGCCAGCAGCCGCGGUAAUACGGAGGGUCCGAGCGUUAUCCGGAAUUAUUGGGUUUAAAGGGUCCGUAGGCGGGCUGUUAAGUCAGGGGUGAAAGUUUGCAGCUCAACUGUAGAAUUGCCUUUGAUACUGACGGUCUUGAAUUAUUGUGAAGUGGUUAGAAUAUGUAGUGUAGCGGUGAAAUGCAUAGAUAUUACAUAGAAUACCGAUUGCGAAGGCAGAUCACUAACAAUUGAUUGACGCUGAUGGACGAAAGCGUGGGUAGCGAACAGGAUUAGAUACCCUGGUAGUCCACGCCGUAAACGAUGGAUACUAGCUGUUUGGAUUUCGAUCUGA
rnacentral:rRNA from 1 species